AGAGUUUGAUCCUGGCUCAGAACGAACGCUGGCGGCAGGCUUAACACAUGCAAGUCGAACGCACCUUCGGGUGAGUGGCAGACGGGUGAGUAACGCGUGGGAACGUGCCCUUCAGUUCGGAAUAACCCAGGGAAACUUGGGCUAAUACCGGAUACGUGCGAGAGCAGAAAGAUUUAUCGCUGAAGGAUCGGCCCGCGUCUGAUUAGCUAGUUGGUGGGGUAAUGGCCCACCAAGGCGACGAUCAGUAGCUGGUCUGAGAGGAUGAUCAGCCACAUUGGGACUGAGACACGGCCCAAACUCCUACGGGAGGCAGCAGUGGGGAAUAUUGGACAAUGGGCGCAAGCCUGAUCCAGCCAUGCCGCGUGAGUGAUGAAGGCCCUAGGGUUGUAAAGCUCUUUCGGCGGGGACGAUAAUGACGGUACCCGCAGAAGAAGCCCCGGCUAACUUCGUGCCAGCAGCCGCGGUAAUACGAAGGGGGCUAGCGUUGUUCGGAAUCACUGGGCGUAAAGGGCGCGUAGGCGGCUUGAUAAGUCGGGGGUGAAAGCCUGUGGCUCAACCACAGAAUUGCCUUCGAUACUGUCUGGCUUGAGACCGGAAGAGGUAAGUGGAACUGCGAGUGUAGAGGUGAAAUUCGUAGAUAUUCGCAAGAACACCAGUGGCGAAGGCGGCUUACUGGUCCGGUUCUGACGCUGAGGCGCGAAAGCGUGGGGAGCAAACAGGAUUAGAUACCCCCGUAGUCC
rnacentral:rRNA from 2 species